AUGCUGAAAAGUCACCCAUUUAAAAUAAAAUAAUAAAGAAGAAAUUCUCCCUUUAGCUAUCACCCCAACUCACUCUUUUCCUUCCUCACAAUACUUCUGAGCAGAACAUACGCUCACUUCCUUCUCUUCCUUUACUUCCUUACCACAGGCUGCUUCUUCACCUUGUGAAAUCUGGCUUUCACUCUGACCAUCACACUGAACCUGCUACCUCUGAGGUCUCAGGACUUCCUACCUGCUAAACCCUUGGUCCUGUCUAGUCCUCAUCCUCCUCAACCUCUCUAAGCCUUUGACUCUUAAAACCGCUUCCUGCUGUCUCUCUGUCUCUCUGUCUCAGUCUCUCUCUCUCCCAACCCCCUUAGUUCCCCUAUAUUCUGUGUCACUCAAACUUCCUGGUUUUCCCACCUCUCUAAUUCCCUCUUUGGCUGCCUUCUCCACCCCCCACUGAAGAACAGGCAUCCCCAGAGACCUGUGGAUGCUUGCAAGAUCUGGCGCCUGUCUCCCACCUCAUGUGUACCGGGUCCCCAAGCUCACAAGACUCCCGUUAUGUUACACUGACAUUUCUUUCAGUUCCUCUACCGCACCCAGCUCUUAUUGCCUUAGCGCCUCUUCCCUCGACCUGGGAGCUCUUCCCCACCCACCCCACCCUAUUUCCAACUCGACUUCUAGGUCUCAGCUUACUAUCACUUCCUCCAAGUGCGCCCCCACAAAACUAAAUCAAAUUUUCCCUCUUUUCUGUCUUAGAACUCGUGUUUUUUGUCACCUUAUUUCUGCAGUUUAAUUAGAGGCUUUCGUUGUAUGCUGAUUUGCUUACUUAUCUACCUUUCUCUCUAGAGUGUAAAUUCCAUGAGGACAGGAACUGUGUCAGUUUUGUUUACUACCUUAUACUGAGCAUUCAAUUCAGUCCCUUGAACCACAGAUACUAAAUAUUUGUUGAAUGAGGGGAUGGAUGAAUGAAUGAAGUGUUUUCUUCAUGCCAGGCACUAAGGUAUUUCCUCAAUUCUCUUCAUCUCUGCAAGGAUAUAUUAUUACACAGACAAAUCUUUGAGCUUCAGUUGCUUCAUCUGUAAUUUAAGAACAGCCAAACCAAUCUUCCUGGAUUGUUGUAAGAAUUAAAACGCCUGGACACACAGUAAGUCAGUUGGUCCCUAGACUAGAGAGAGCAGCUCCAAAGAAGUAAAGCUGAGCCUAACAGCCUGUGGUUCUUCUGUUCACUAUUAGGAGAUUACUCAGUUCUUAAAAGGAGGCAUCACCAACACUGCUAAGCCAGGCCUAUGGAUGCUGCUAAGCACUGGUCUCCAUGUGUGACGAGGGUGGGUGUGGGGUGUGAGAUGCCACAAAGGAUCUGGCUGGACACCUAGGGCUUGGGAGUGUCAUUAAAAAAAUGCAAGAGAGUUUGGAAGGUUGAUUGGCAGAAGAUUGCUUAAACGAGGAUAGCAAUCCAUUCUUGGUUUGGGGUUGGGGCCUGAAAAGGAACGCAGGACCAAGACAAAGUAGAACACAUAGUCAAAAGGCCAAACAAUUCCUUCUGACAGGAAGGAUGCCCUGCCUUGUCAUUUCUUCUCUGAAAACACGCUGGGAAUGGUGUGGGCAAUGUAACAUAUCCUUCCACAGCCCAUGGGAAGAUGUUCUUUCUCGAGAAUAGUUGUCCCCCAGACACCCUCUUUCUGUUCACCUGUGAUAAGAUGUUCUUUUCUGGAGGCUGUUUAGGUAGAGGCUACCAAAACAUUUGGCUUUGCCUCUGCCUUAAUCUGAGCAGGGAGGGUUAAUUGUCUCAAAUCUUGAAUUUAGAACAUUUAUGACUAAUUAAUCCAUGGUCUCCAAAAUUGGGGGCUUUUUUACUUCUUCAUACUCAGCUGUGUCUUUUCCAUCCCCAUCCUAAAUCCCAGCAACUUAGGGAAGAGUUGGGUCCCAACAAAUGAGAUUCACUGUCCAUGCCUUUAUGGUAAGUCACUACUGGCUUUUGCCUACUCUUUUUGCCAAAACCUGCAUGCCCCCUUUCAUAUUUUAUGUAUGAGAGAUUAUAUAGCAACAUGGGAAAAUAUUUAUAACAUAAUAUUAAAUUGAAAAGAUGGCGAUAUAAAAAUUGCAUGUAAAUAUGAUUCUGGCAAUGUAAAAACGAAAACAAAAAAUACACACGCACAUACAAGGAAAAUAAAUCUGGAAGAAAACAAACCAAAUAAUUAGUAAUGAUUAUCUUAGAGUACUAGGAUUGUGGAUUACUUCUUAUUCUUUAUUUUCCCCUAAUUUUUUUUAUGUAAUGGAAAAUGCUUUUAUAAAUAAGAAACAGACUUAUUAAGGUAAGGCAAAAUUAAUAACAAAGCUUGAUAAGACAAAUAAAACAAGAAAGCUAGUUGUAGAUAAGAUUUUCUGGAAAUAAAUAUACAUAGCUCUCAACCCAGUGUCUGUGGACUGAUGGAGAAAUACAACCACAGAACUCUUGUGGAAGGCAGUUAACCACAUGUCACCCUGUCUACUUUAAGAAUGACCAAGAAGAACAACACAAGACUUCAGACCUGCUGGGCAUUUGAGAAGAGCCGCGGAGCUUGGAGUCCAGGCACAUUAGAGGUUUGGGGGCUAUAAAGACACUGUGAAGAAGUUACUAAAUUUGGGGAUUUCCGGGAAGUGCUUCAAGCAUGACAUGGUGAGGCCCUGAUUCUGUUUAUUUUUAGAAGUCUUGUUGAGAGGAGUAUCUUUCACCUCUCAGUAAAUUAACUAUGCUCCUUGGAACCAUGGACAUCUUUCUGCUGUAGCAGCAAUAGGAUCAAAGCACGUGUUUAGAAAGAGAAGUGAAAAACACCAGAUGUGAGCAAAACCACAAGGGGAAUUUCAGACAGGCGGCGCGCACCAGAUUACCCAAUUUGGAAUGCGGCCCAGGCCCCAGGGCAGGCAGACCCUCUGAGGCUCAGGCUGGAAGGACAGAGGUUAUUGAUCCUGAUUUAAGUCAAAUGCCCUUAACUUGAUCCGUGACCUUGCUCCAGCCAUUGACCUCCUCCAAACCACUUUCACCAUCUGUAAAAUGGAAGGACUGCCUCAUUUCCUCUCAGGAAUAAUGAAUGGAAACCAUGCUAAAAACUAGAGGUAAGAAUGAGGCAUGAUCUCAUGAUCUCCUUAAAGACUGGUAGUAAAUUGUAUUUAAAUAUAUAAAUACCACAACAUAUACACAUUUACAGUGCAUGUGGGAAGGAUGUGUGUAAAAAACAUGGGAUUAAAGAUUGUAUAUCAUUUAACAAAGUAAAUAAUCUGUACGUUGACAAUUGCAGGAGGUGUGACAGGAUAUUUUUGGCUUGUCACUAACAGCCCUUUAGGUCUCCUGGGGUCACCCCAGAUCUAGGUACAUAGGGCUGAAGAAAUGUUAGAUUUGGAUACAGCUUAACCUUCAAAUUCCAGCUUCCUCUACCACUUAGUUGUAUGUAAGUUACUCCAUAGGUUUGUACCUUGGUUUUCCCUUCUAUAAAAUGGGGAUAAAACUAAUAUCUACCUCCUAGCCAUGUUGUGAGGAUUAAAUAGAGUAGUAUAAUUAAAGAGCUUAGAAGAGUACUGGGUGGAUAAUAUUAGUUAUUACUAUCCUCCAAAACCUUAAAUGUGGACUUUGAAGCUCUCUGCAUUUCUUUAUUCUUGGUUUUCUCAUCCAAAUGCUUCCCACAUUCCUACUCUGUUCAAAAAUAUUUCCUGUCUUGUUGCUGCGGCUGUGGUGUAGGCCAAUGGCUAUAGCUCCAAUUUGAUCUCUAGCCCGGGAACCACCAUAUGCCAUGGGUGUGGCCCUAAAAAGACAAAAAAAAAAAAAAAAAAAAAAAAAUCCUGUCUUAUUCAUCUAUGUAGGACACUGCUCCUUCCAGACUUUAAACCACUCUAACACCCUCCACCAAAGCCAUGAAUUUAUUCCUAUGCAUACCAUCCUUGGGUCAAUUCCUACAAUGACCUCACAACCAGAAAUCUAUGAAGCAUUACUAUUUUCUCUGUCCUAACUUAACCAGAGGAGGUGUCCCACUACAGAUUUUUUAAAAAUACGUUUUCCUCCUCUUUAGUAGAAGUUGUCAGUCACAGUGUAGACUAAGGAAUCACUGUGGAAUCAGUAAGCAUGGACGUCUUUGAAAGAGCAAAGCGAAGAGUCAUGGGGAUCUGAAACCCCUGCCCAACCCUCUGGAGAGAAAUUGUCAUUGGAGAGAAGAGGGGUGUGGUACUGGAUCCAAGCAGAAGCUGGCAUUCAUCCUAGGAUCAUGCACCCAGGAAGGGGCUGUAUAUGAGAACAGAAAAAUGGGAAAAAUCACGUGAUCAGUGAGAAUUAUGAUAUUAUGGAGACAGAACUGAGUGGAAUGUUAAGGAAUCACUUUCGCUAAAGUACUGGUGUGAAUGGACCCUACUUUGGCACCCCCGGGGUAGCAGAGAGAGGACUCAGACACCACAGCCCUUUCCUGGACAGUGUUUGCUGCGGUUUCACCAGCACUGGCAUCAUUCCUUUCCAUGAGCUCUGUCUACCACCAGCACUGGGGUUUAUCAUACAAUUGUUGUUACUGUCCUUUCCAUUACCACCUUCAAACCACUUAGCCUUUUCUCAUCCCUCCACCACAUACCAUCUUCUAGGGUGUUUUUACCACACUAUUGUAAGAGUCCCUAAAGGUGAUUCAAUUCCAUAGAAAUGUUGGCGCCCCUAUGAUACAAGGCUAAGUCCUAGGGAACACAGAGAUGAGUAAAAUACGGUCACUGCUCUCAAGGAGGUACUAUCACAUGAUUUAGGUAGAUUUAAAUUACUAACUGAUAUUUUCCCCUAUGAUACAAGGCUAAGUCCUAGGGAACACAGAGAUGAGUAAAAUACGGUCACUGCUCUCAAGGAGGUACUAUCACAUGAUUUAGGUAGAUUUAAAUUACUAACUGAUAUUUAAUCCAGUGAUGGCCUAGGCUCCCCUAAUUGUCUUCCCUAUUGCCCUGCCUUGUCCAGUUCCUUUAUUUAACACAUACUUAUUGAGCAUCUUCUGAAGCAUCUACAUGAGGGAAAUAGGCUUGAUGAUAUACCUGGCUGACUACAUAAGGAACAGCUAACUUAGCAUACCUGUCUCUGCUCCUGUAGAGUAAAGGGCACUCCACUAUAUUUUGCUCUCCCAGCCAUGAUACAGUGAUGGUACAGUUGAGACAUGUUAAGGUCUUAUUUUGAGUCCAACUUCAGAGGCACCUGAGAACAGGAGGAAGAAGGACAAAUCUCCUCACAAUGGUGAGGAGCUGGGACCUCCAUGUCCUGUGCUCCUCCCCAAUAUUCUCAUCCUCCCUCUUCUCAGAAAUCAGGUACCCUUCAUACUACUCCUUGAUUCUAUAUGAGUCAGAAUCUUUUAAAUAGAUAAAUAUGAACUAUCUUUGGUUUCUUAAUGAACAGUUCUUCAAUAAUGGAAGGUAAAGUCAAUUAUAUAAAUACUAAGCUUCCAAGGAAAAGAAGGGCUUCAAACAAAAUGUUUUCCUUAUUGGAAGAGGCAUUUAAGAUGAAAGUAAGUAUUAAAUUCCCACUGAUGGCAAUAAAACUACUUCUUAUAAUAUUAAGGUGUACAGCUGACCAAACAAGAGCUGUAAUAAAUCUUAAGUCCUCUGCCCACUCAGAAUAAGACCUCAAGGCAUACAAGAAUGACUCACUGUGACAAACUCAGACAACUAUUGAUUAAUUGUGCUCACAAGGCAGUGUAAGCAUUAUGGAUUGUAUUGGAUUGAUUGGAUUGGAUUGGAUUACUAGCACAAGCAUAAAAUUUGGUAUCAAAUGGUUCUUGGUUCAAAUUUCAGCUCAGGUUCUUCUUUGCCACCUGGGACUGGGGCAAUUUACUUAGCUUCUCUGCCCCUUUAUUUUCUUCAUUUGCAUAAUGCAGAUCAAAAUUUUUACCCAGCAGGGUUUUUUAAAAGUACUAAAUAAAGGGACAUAACUGAAGGUACUAUGCAAAGAGGAGGGACUUGUGAAUUCUCCUUUCGUUUUUUGUUUUUGUUUUUGUUUGCUUUGUUUUGAUGUUUUACAGAUGAGGAACGAAAGCCUGAAGAACUGAUCUAACUUGCUGAGGGCCUGUGAUUAACCAAUGCCAUCCCUAAAGCCACUGACUUCCUGACUUCUAGCCCAGUUGUCUUUCGAUUGGUUCUAUAAUGGGAGUUGAGCAAAGAAAACUGAAAAAGCAUUUAUCUCUGGUUUUCUAAUGGUUGAGAGGGGUGAAAUAAAAAGAGUGGAGGAGGCUGA